CUUUGUUUAUAGUUUGUACUUUGUGUUUGCACUCCUACUCAAAUUCAGCAUGGCGGAUUUAUAAGGGCCUUUUUGUUUUCAGUUUGGACACCGGUCACGUGACCAAGCACGCAUUCUAGGUCUAAUAUUUCUAUGAAUAAAACGUAUAGUACAAUUGCACUCUUGGGAAAUGGAACGUAUUCUAUUGCACUCUUGGGAAAUGGAAUUUUCUAUUCAAUUUUACGUGACCAUAAUAUAAAACAGCCAAUUAA